AGAGUUUGAUCAUGGCUCAGGAUGAACGCUAGCGGCAGGCUUAAUACAUGCAAGUCGAACGGCAGCGGGUGUAGCAAUACAUGCCGGCGAGUGGCGCACGGGUGCGUAACGCGUAUGCAACCUACCUUUAACUGGGAGAUAGCCCGAAGAAAUUCGGAUUAAUACCCCAUAGUAUAAUAAAACGGCAUCGUUUAAUUAUUAAAGAAUUUCGGUUAAAGAUGGGCAUGCGUGACAUUAGUUUGUUGGUGAGGUAACGGCUCACCAAGACUACGAUGUCUAGGGGGUCUGAGAGGAUGAUCCCCCACACUGGUACUGAGACACGGACCAGACUCCUACGGGAGGCAGCAGUAAGGAAUAUUGGGCAAUGGAGGCAACUCUGACCCAGCCAUGCCGCGUGAAGGAUGACGGCCCUAUGGGUUGUAAACUUCUUUUGUAUGGGAAUAAACCCCGGUACGUGUACCGGGUUGAAUGUACCAUAAGAAUAAGCACCGGCUAACUCCGUGCCAGCAGCCGCGGUAAUACGGAGGGUGCAAGCGUUAUCCGGAUUUAUUGGGUUUAAAGGGAGCGUAGGCGGGAUAGUAAGUCAGCGGUGAAAUCUUCCGGCUCAACCGGGAAACUGCCAUUGAUACUGCUAACCUAGAGUACAUUUGAAGUGGGCGGAAUGUGUCAUGUAGCGGUGAAAUGCUUAGAUAUGACACAGAACACCAAUUGCGUAGGCAGCUCACUAAACUGUAACUGACGCUGAGGCUCGAAAGCGUGGGGAUCAAACAGGAUUAGAUACCCUAGUAGUCC
rnacentral:rRNA from 1 species